GACGAACGCUGGCGGCGUGCUUAACACAUGCAAGUCGAACGAAGAGCGAUGGAAGCUUGCUUCUAUCACUCUUAGUGGCGAACGGGUGAGUAACGCGUAAUCAACCUGCCCUUCAGAGGGGGACAACAGUUGGAAACGACUGCUAGUACCGCAUACGAUCUAAUCUCGGCAUCGAGGAUAGAUGAAAGGUGGCCUCUACAUGUAAGCUAUCACUGAAGGAGGGGAUUGCGUCUGAUUAGCUAGUUGGAGGGGUAACGGCCCACCAAGGCGAUGAUCAGUAGCCGGUCUGAGAGGAUGAACGGCCACAUUGGGACUGAGACACGGCCCAGACUCCUACGGGAGGCAGCAGUGGGGAAUCUUCCGCAAUGGACGAAAGUCUGACGGAGCAACGCCGCGUGAGUGAUGACGGCCUUCGGGUUGUAAAGCUCUGUUAAUCGGGACGAAAGGCCUUCUUGCGAAUAGUGAGAAGGAUUGACGGUACCGGAAUAGAAAGCCACGGCUAACUACGUG
rnacentral:rRNA from 1 species